AGCUUUGCGCAGUGGCAUUAUCAUAGCCAAUGAGGUUUAUCCAAGGCAUGAUUAUUGCUGAAUAUUGUUAAUUG
rnacentral:snRNA from 1 species